rnacentral:rRNA from 1 species
GGCUGACGCAUGCGUAUACAUGCAAGUCGAGCGAACAGAUAAGGAGCUUGCUCCUUUGACGUUAGCGGCGGACGGGUGAGUAACACGUGGGUAACCUACCUAUAAGACUGGGAUAACUUCGGGAAACCGGAGCUAAUACCGGAUAACAUUUGGAACCGCAUGGUUCUAAAGUGAAAGAUGGUUUUGCUAUCACUUAUAGAUGGACCCGCGCCGUAUUAGCUAGUUGGUAAGGUAACGGCUUACCAAGGCGACGAUACGUAGCCGACCUGAGAGGGUGAUCGGCCACACUGGAACUGAGACACGGUCCAGACUCCUACGGGAGGCAGCAGUAGGGAAUCUUCCGCAAUGGGCGAAAGCCUGACGGAGCAACGCCGCGUGAGUGAUGAAGGGUUUCGGCUCGUAAAACUCUGUUAUUAGGGAAGAACAAACGUGUAAGUAACUGUGCACGUCUUGACGGUACCUAAUCAGAAAGCCACGGCUAACUACGUGCCAGCAGCCGCGGUAAUACGUAGGUGGCAAGCGUUAUCCGGAAUUAUUGGGCGUAAAGCGCGCGUAGGCGGUUUCUUAAGUCUGAUGUGAAAGCCCACGGCUCAACCGUGGAGGGUCAUUGGAAACUGGGAAACUUGAGUGCAGAAGAGGAAAGUGGAAUUCCAUGUGUAGCGGUGAAAUGCGCAGAGAUAUGGAGGAACACCAGUGGCGAAGGCGACUUUCUGGUCUGUAACUGACGCUGAUGUGCGAAAGCGUGGGGAUCAAACAGGAUUAGAUACCCUGGUAGUCCACGCCGUAAACGAUGAGUGCUAAGUGUUAGGGGGUUUCCGCCCCUUAGUGCUGCAGCUAACGCAUUAAGCACUCCGCCUGGGGAGUACGACCGCAAGGUUGAAACUCAAAGGAAUUGACGGGGACCCGCACAAGCGGUGGAGCAUGUGGUUUAAUUCGAAGCAACGCGAAGAACCUUACCAAAUCUUGACAUCCUUUGAAACUCUAGAGAUAGAGCCUUCCCCUUCGGGGACAAAGUGACAGUGUGCAUGAUGUCGUCAGCUCGUGUCGUGAGAUGUUGGGUUAAGUCCCGCACGAGCGCAACCCUUAAGCUUAGUUGCCAUCAUUAAGUUGGGCACCCUAGGUUGACUGCCG